UACAGAGGGUGCGAGCGUUAAUCGGAAUUACUGGGCGUAAAGCGCGCGUAGGCGGCUUUGCAAGUCGGGUGUGAAAUCCCCCGGGCUUAACCUGGGAACUGCAGUCGAGACUGUCUAGCUAGAGUAUGGGAGAGGGAAGUGGAAUUUCAGGUGUAGCGGUGAAAUGCGUAGAUAUCUGAAGGAACAUCAGUGGCGAAAGCGACUUCCUGGACCAAUACUGACGCUCAUGUGCGAAAGCGUGGGGAGCAAACAGG
rnacentral:rRNA from 1 species